rnacentral:sRNA from 1 species
ACUCAACACUAACAAUUUAGAAUGAGCAAAUCAUCGCUACUAUAGCAAGCCUUUUAAGUAAGGAAGCUUGAACAGCGAGUUAGCUCAAAACUUGUCUUAUCGAGUUU